UACGGAGGAUGCAAGCGUUAUCCGGAAUGAUUGGGCGUAAAGGGUCCGCAGGUGGCAGUGUACGUCUGCUGUCAAAGAAUGAGGCUUAACCUCAUCAAGGCAGUGGAAACUACACAGCUAGAGUACGGUCGGGGUAGAAGGAAUUCCUGGUGUAGCGGUGAAAUGCGUAGAGAUCAGGAAGAACACCGGUGGCGAAAGCGUUCUGCUAGACCUGUACUGACACUGAGGGACGAAAGCUAGGGGAGCGAAUGGG
rnacentral:rRNA from 1 species